UACGGAGGGUGCGAGCGUUGUCCGGAAUCACUGGGCGUAAAGGGCGCGUAGGCGGCUCAUGAAGGCUGUGGUGAAAGUCCGGGGCUCAACCUCGGAUCGGCCGUGGCGACUCGUGGGCUGGAGCACUGUAGAGGCGGGUGGAAUUCCGGGUGUAGCGGUGAAAUGCGUAGAUAUCGGAAGGAACAUCAGUGGCGAAAGCGACUUCCUGGACCAGUACCGACGUUCAGGCACGAAAGCGUGGGGAGCAAACAGG
rnacentral:rRNA from 1 species